rnacentral:rRNA from 1 species
ACUGUUGGCAAGAGCACCCUGAAUGCAUCCAUUCUCUCCUGCUCUUGGAAGCUAAGCAGGAUCUGGACUGGUUAGCACUUGGAUGAGAGAUCUGACAAAAAAAAAAUGGGGCCAACUUUC